rnacentral:rRNA from 1 species
GAUGAACGCUGGCGGCGUGCUUAACACAUGCAAGUCGAACGGGAUCCCAGGGGUGCUUGCACUUUUUGGUGAGAGUGGCGAACGGGUGAGUAACACGUGAGUAACCUGUCCUUUUCUUUGGGAUAAGCAUUCGAAAGGGUGUUUAAUACCUUAUGUUCUGUCUGCCUCGCAUGGGGUGGGUGGGAAAGGCUUUGGCCGGAUUUGGGUGGGCUCGCGGGCUAUCAGCUUGUUGGUGGGGUGAUGGCGUACCAAGGCUUUGACGGGUAGCCGGCCUGAGAGGGCGGUAGGUGACAGUGGGACUGAGAGGCGGCGCAGACUCCUGCGGAAGGCAGCGGUGGGGAAUAGUGCAGAAUGGGGGAAAGCCGGAGGCAGCGAGGCGGAGUGGGGGAGGAAGGCGUACGGGUUGUAAACGUCUGUUGCUCUGAACAAGGCAUGCCAGUGGGUGUGUGGAGUGAAGGGGUGGAUUAGCGCCGGCUAACUACGUG